GUUAUUAAACCAAGUAUUAGUAAUUGUUCAGUAUUGUCUUCAACAACUGACACAACUGCCGUCACAUUUGUUAUGCCUGUAUUUUUCUAUUUUUCAUCUAUAUAUAAUUAAGAUUGAGGAAACAACAGAGACAUAUAUACAUCUGCAUCAUGUCUUGGGUCACAUCAUUAAAUUGACAACGAGAAUCGGUUAAAAACAGAUCUUUACGACAACAAUCUUGAUGUAGUCUCAAAUAAUAUAUCGUGAAUUGUCAUUUUCUUUGUAGCAACUUUCCAGCAGCACCA
rnacentral:lncRNA from 1 species